CUAGUACUUCCUCCGUCCAACAAAGGAUGUCUCAACUUUGAUCAAAUUUGAAUGCACCGUGUAUAGGUGCAUUCAAAUUUGAUCAAAGUUGAGACAUCCUUUGUUGGACGGAGGGAGUACUGU
rfam:Brachypodium distachyon strain Bd21 chromosome 2, whole genome shotgun sequence.